GCAGCACAGGCCAAGUCCUAAGGAGGCCACCUUAGCAGCUCGGCGACGACGAGAUGUGAAGACAUCCAAAAACUGGGCUGCUGGCCAGAACAAGCAGCAUUCCAUCACUAAAAACACAGCCAAGCUCGACCAGGAGACAGAGAAGCUGCAUCACGCCAGGGUGACCGUGGAGGUGGGCAAAGUGAUCCAGCGGGGCUGGCAGAGCAAAGGCCUGACACAGAAGGACCUGGCCAUGAAAAUCAAUGAAAAGCCUCAAGUCACCGCAGACUAUGAAAGGGGACAGGCCACUCUGAAUAACCAGGUUAUGGGCAAAAUUGAGAGAGCCAUCGGCCUUAAGCUCUGGGGGAAGGGCACGGGGAAGCCUAUGGAGAGGGGCAUCGAAAGC
rnacentral:lncRNA from 1 species